CCUCUCCGCCCGAAGCCGAGGGGGGUGGGCGCGCCCGGAGGCUCUCGUCCCCCGCCCCCCGCAGGCUGUGGAGAAAGGAGGUGGUGAUACCGACUUCCUGGGAGCCAUGCCUUCAACACACAUUUACGGAGCGCCUACUGUGUUCCAGGCCCCGCUCCAGGACGUGGGGGCGGGAAGGGGUACAAAGUCCCGACCCUGGUGGAGAUGACAUGAGACGGCAAACACGUGAACCAAAUCCCUGGCAGGUACCAAGGAGUGGAAUUGCUGCAUCAGAUGGAAACUCCAGGUUUAACUUUUAGAGAAACCACCAAACGGAUUUCCACCGUGGCUGCCCCAUUUUCCAUUCCCAGCAGCUCUGGAGGAGGGUUCAGAUCUCCCUACAUCUUUGCCAGGACUUAUUAUUGCCCGUAACUUUUUUUUUUUUUUUUUGGCCCUGCACAUGCGCGGGAUCUUAGUUCUCCCAACCACGGAUGGAACCUGGCCACAGCAACAAACAAUAGUAAUGAUACUGCGGAUGGCACAGACUUCCCGCAUGCUGGGAACCAGUCUUCUUUACACAUUUAUUUACUAGUAACCCAUUUUGCAGAUGGGGACAAGAGAGGCUCAGAGAGAGUGUGGCCCAUCUGGAGGUCACCAGCCUGGCAGGGGCUGGGAACCCAGGCCUCUAGGCCUUGUCACUGCCCCCCAGGGCUGAGCUUGACAAUAAGUGUGUUUUGUUUUUGUGCUUAUCCUUCUCCCCGGAGCUUCUGCCUGCACCCUUGGGAGCCUGGCGUUGGCAGGGCCGGGAGCCACUGUUGGGGUGUUUAAAGGCCUUUAAAAGGUGUUCCCAGGGGACUUCCCUGGUGGCGCAGUGGUUAAGAAUCCGUCUGCCAAUGCAGGGGACACGGAUGUGUUCGAGCCCUGGUCCGGGAAGAUCCCACAUGCCAUGGAGCAACUGAGCCUAUGAGCCACAACAACCGAGCCUGUGCUCUAGAGCCCGCGAGCCACAACUACUGAAGCCUGCGUGCCUAGAGCCUGUGCUCCGCAACAAGAGAAGCCACCCAAUGAGAAGAGUAGCCCCCACUCCCCGCAACUAGAGAAAGCCCGCAGCAAUGAAGACCCAACGCAGCCAUAAAUAAAAAAAAAAAAAAAAGUGUUCCCAGCCUUUCCCUGGGGCUGCGUGGUAAUUAGGUGCUGUAAUUAGGAGGCAUGAUUAGCAGGCCACCCACAGCAGGCGUGUCUCUGGGGACAUCUGGGGACUGUGGGGAGCAGGGAGGCAUGGCUGCCCACCUGGCCUGCCCUUCAGAGGCCCCCACUGCCUCCUCUGAGAUACCUAAGGGCCAAGUGCUAGCUGCAGCUUUGCAGCUGGUGGGCUGAGUGGCUCUGGACAACUCUCUGUCCCUCUCUGGGCCUCUGCUUUCCCAUCUAUGUAGUAGGGGAGGGCAUAGUGCAGACCCCACAGGACCUGCGCCGCUCCCCUCACUCUCUGGUACCUAGAUCCCUCCACCUAUCCCCCACCCCAACAAAAUAAAUACCCUCUUCGUUGUAAGAGGCCAGAGUCUACUAAGUUCUUUCAUAUCCCCAGCACUGCUCCGAGCGCUUGAGGUGGGCAUGAUGAUCACUCCCAUUUUACAGCUGAGGAAACUGAGGCCCAGGGAAUUUGAGAAAUGGACUCAGGAACACACAGCCUAUGAAAGGAAGAGCCAGGAUUUCAAUCUCAAUCGCCAUCCUAAGACCACCAGCAAAUAUUUCCCUACAUGCUACUGAAUGUGGGCAACACUUUUAGUGUUUUGCAUGAGUGCUAUGGAAUAAAUGGUGUCUUCCCUACAACAAACUUGUGCUGAAGCCCUGAUCCUCUGUGGGCUGGUAUUUGGAGGUGGGGUCUUCGGGAGGAGGUUAGGGUUAGAUGAGGUCAUGAGGGUGGGGCCCUCAUGGUGGGAUUAGUGUCCUUAUAAGAAGAGGAAGAGGCCAGAACUAUCUCUCUGCUAUGUGAGGACACAGCAAGAGGCAGCUCUCUGCCACCUAAGGAGAGAGCUCU